rnacentral:rRNA from 1 species
GAUGAACGCUGGCGGCGUGCCUAAUACAUGCAAGUCGAGCGAACGGACGAGAAGCUUGCUUCUCUGAUGUUAGCGGCGGACGGGUGAGUAACACGUGGAUAACCUACCUAUAAGACUGGGAUAACUUCGUGAAACCGGAGCUAAUACCGGAUAAUAUUUUGAACCGCAUGGUUCAAAAGUGAAAGACGGUCUUGCUGUCACUUAUAGAUGGAUCCGCGCUGCAUUAGCUAGUUGGUAAGGUAACGGCUUACCAAGGCAACGAUGCAUAGCCGACCUGAGAGGGUGAUCGGCCACACUGGAACUGAGACACGGUCCAGACUACUACGGGAGGCAGCAGUAGGGAAUCUUACGCAAUGGGCGAAAGCCUGACGGAGCAACGCCGCGUGAGUGAUGAAGGUCUUCGGAUCGUAAAACUAUGUUAUUAGUGAAGAACAUAUGUAUAAGUAACUGUGCACAUCUUGACGGUACCUAAUCAGAAAGCAACGGCUAACUACGUA